UACAUGGGGUGCAAACGUUGCUCGGAAUUAUUGGGCGUAAAGCGCACGUAGGCGGUCCGUUAAGUCGGAUGUGAAAGCCCCCGGCUCAACCGGGGAAGUGCAUCCGAAACUGGCAGGCUAGAGUACGAAAGAGGGUCGCGGAAUUCCCGGUGUAGAGGUGGAAAUUCGUAGAUAUCGGGAGGAACACCGGUGGCGAAGGCGGCGACCUGGGUCGAUACUGACGCUGAGGUGCGAAAGCGUGGGGAGCAAACAGG
rnacentral:rRNA from 1 species